AACGAACGCUGGCGGCAUGCCUAAUACAUGCAAGUCGAACGAGAUCUUCGGAUCUAGUGGCGCACGGGUGCGUAACGCGUGGGGAUCUGCCCUUGGGUUCGGAAUAACGUCGGGAAACUGACGCUAAUACCGGAUGAUGACGUAAGUCCAAAGAUUUAUCGCCCAAGGAUGAGCCCGCGUAGGAUUAGCUAGUUGGUAAGGUAAAGGCUUACCAAGGCGACGAUCCUUAGCUGGUCUGAGAGGAUGAUCAGCCACACUGGGACUGAGACACGGCCCAGACUCCUACGGGAGGCAGCAGUAGGGAAUAUUGGACAAUGGGCGCAAGCCUGAUCCAGCAAUGCCGCGUGAGUGAUGAAGGCCUUAGGGUUGUAAAGCUCUUUUACCCGGGAUGAUAGUGACAGUACCGGGAGAAUAAGCCCCGGCUAACUCCGUGCCAGCCGCCGCAGUAA
rnacentral:rRNA from 1 species